GUGCCUAAUACAUGCAAGUCGUACGCACUGGCCCAACUGAUUGAUGGUGCUUGCACCUGAUUGACGAUGGAUCACCAGUGAGUGGCGGACGGGUGAGUAACACGUAGGUAACCUGCCCCGGAGCGGGGGAUAACAUUUGGAAACAGAUGCUAAUACCGCAUAACAACAAAAGCCACAUGGCUUUUGUUUGAAAGAUGGCUUUGGCUAUCACUCUGGGAUGGACCUGCGGUGCAUUAGCUAGUUGGUAAGGUAACGGCUUACCAAGGCGAUGAUGCAUAGCCGAGUUGAGAGACUGAUCGGCCACAAUGGAACUGAGACACGGUCCAUACUCCUACGGGAGGCAGCAGUAGGGAAUCUUCCACAAUGGGCGCAAGCCUGAUGGAGCAACACCGCGUGAGUGAAGAAGGGUUUCGGCUCGUAAAGCUCUGUUGUUGGAGAAGAACGUGCGUGAGAGUAACUGUUCACGCAGUGACGGUAUCCAACCAGAAAGUCACGGCUAACUACGUGCCAGCAGCCGCGGUAAUACGUAGGUGGCAAGCGUUAUCCGGAUUUAUUGGGCGUAAAGCGAGCGCAGGCGGUUGCUUAGGUCUGAUGUGAAAGCCUUCGGCUUAACCGAAGAAGUGCAUCGGAAACCGGGCGACUUGAGUGCAGAAGAGGACAGUGGAACUCCAUGUGUAGCGGUGGAAUGCGUAGAUAUAUGGAAGAACACCAGUGGCGAAGGCGGCUGUCUGGUCUGCAACUGACGCUGAGGCUCGAAAGCAUGGGUAGCGAACAGGAUUAGAUACCCUGGUAGUCCAUGCCGUAAACGAUGAGUGCUAGGUGUUGGAGGGUUUCCGCCCUUCAGUGCCGGAGCUAACGCAUUAAGCACUCCGCCUGGGGAGUACGACCGCAAGGUUGAAACUCAAAGGAAUUGACGGGGGCCCGCACAAGCGGUGGAGCAUGUGGUUUAAUUCGAAGCUACGCGAAGAACCUUACCAGGUCUUGACAUCUUGCGCUAACCUUAGAGAUAAGGCGUUCCCUUCGGGGACGCAAUGACAGGUGGUGCAUGGUCGUCGUCAGCUCGUGUCGUGAGAUGUUGGGUUAAGUCCCGCAACGAGCGCAACCCUUGUUACUAGUUGCCAGCAUUAAGUUGGGCACUCUAGUGAGACUGCCGGUGACAAACCGGAGGAAGGUGGGGACGACGUCAGAUCAUCAUGCCCCUUAUGACCUGGGCUACACACGUGCUACAAUGGACGGUACAACGAGUCGCAAGCUCGCGAGAGUAAGCUAAUCUCUUAAAGCCGUUCUCAGUUCGGACUGUAGGCUGCAACUCGCCUACACGAAGUCGGAAUCGCUAGUAAUCGCGGAUCAGCAUGCCGCGGUGAAUACGUUCCCGGGCCUUGUACACACCGCCCGUCACACCAUGGGAGUUUGUAACGCCCAAAGUCGGUGGCCUAACCUUUAUGGAGGG
rnacentral:rRNA from 2 species